rnacentral:rRNA from 1 species
ACGAAUGCUGGCGGCAGGCCUAACACAUGCCAGUCGAGCGCCCCGCAAGGGGAGCGGCGGACGGGUGAGUAACGCGUGGGAAUAUGCCCUUUGCUACGGAAUAGUCUCGGGAAACUGGGGGUAAUACCGUAUACGCCCUUUGGGGGAAAGAUUUAUCGGCGAAGGAUUAGCCCGCGUUGGAUUAGGUAGUUGGUGGGGUAAUGGCCUACCAAGCCGACGAUCCAUAGCUGGUUUGAGAGGAUGAUCAGCCACACUGGGACUGAGACACGGCCCAGACUCCUACGGGAGGCAGCAGUGGGGAAUCUUAGACAAUGGGGGCAACCCUGAUCUAGCCAUGCCGCGUGAGUGAUGAAGGCCUUAGGGUUGUAAAGCUCUUUCAGCUGGGAAGAUAAUGACGGUACCAGCAGAAGAAGCCCCGGCUAACUCCGUG